GUAAUAAACACAUAAAGCAGUGUUGAGAAUAUCUGCACUCGUUUGAAAACAUGCUUCUGUGUUUUCAGAGUGCCUCAGUAUUUCAUGAAGGUGCUUGUUCUGAAAUAGCGGUACUAAAUAAAAUGUUUUUAAUUUUCCAGCCAGUGCAAAUAGAGUGAUUUAUCUUUCCGGUGAAAGAAAGAAGGGAAAGGAUUAUCUUUUUCACCUCCUGUGUUUAAAAGAGCUCUUGGGUUACCCAUUGCCUCCCAUGCUCAGACCUGCAGCCACUUCACGCCAGCAUUGCAGCACUUAACUGCAAGUGUUAAUUGAUGGAGCCCAAUUAAUGAGAGUGUUUGGCCCCAUGGUUCCUGCCAGACAGAGUUUUGCUAUUGUGCCAGACAAAGGAAUGAGAGGAGCUGCUGCCUCCUAUCGCCUUACAUGCCUUGGGAUGUGUGGAGAAGCAUGUGAGUGGCCCCAGCUCACCUAUCUUCUUGGGUUUCUCCCCGUGUAUCUGAGGAGCCCAACCUGGGGCUGCGUGCCCAUUCUGUGGGGCUGUGUCUCAAUGUGCCCAUCAGAGCAGAGUGCUGAUGUCUCACUCCACGGGACGUGCGCUGCCCGACAGCGCUCUGUGAAGACGUACAGUGUACAUCUGUGGAGAACUUCUCGCCUGUCCGUGUUACAAAUGUGACUAUAUCCAUACGACUUGUUCCCGCGCUUGGCACUGUUAUUGAACACAUCAUUUUGUUUUGUUACUGCCUUGCAGAGCUAGGGUGGCUUUGUAUAAAUAUUCUCCCUCCGGUUUUCCAGCUCUGAAAGGCAGCGGUGGGAAGAAGAGACAAAUUGGGAAGGCACUCCGAGGCAGCAGCCUGCUGGGAGCAUAGUCACUGCAAAACAGGCCAGCUUUGUGAUCACAGAAUCACAGAAUGGCUUGGGUUGGAAGGACCUUAAAGAUCAUGCAGCUCCAACCCUCUGCCAUGGGCUGGCUGCCCCCCACCAGCUCAGGCUGCCCAGGGCCCAUCCAUGGAUAUGAUAUGGGCACCCCGGCUCUGGGCAGCAGUGCUGGGGCUGCACCAUCCUCUGAGUAAAGAAUCCAUUUGGCCCCCCUCUAUUGGGGGGGGGGGGGGGGUAACAGGAGGCGUUGAUCUGGCUGUCUACUGCAGGAGUGCAUUAAUUGAACAAAUUUUUAUAGCUCUGGAAGACUAAAUGACUUUUCUGCCUCUAGGCUUUCCGCACAGGAUUGUAUAUUCAGGUGAAUGAAAUAUAUGAGUUCGGCUGUGGGAACAUUUAGCAAAACUAAAAUCUUUAGCUAAAUUUGCCACCCCUGACCCCUACGCACAUUUAUUUGGUCUCAUUUUAGAAAAUUAUCCUUUUUUUCUGGGCUUGUUAUGAAGAGAGGAGGCAGAUAAAACGGGAUGAGGAAAAAUCACCAAAUCUCCUUUCUUCCUCUGCUUCCCUGAGCUGGCAAACUCUUUUCUGGAGGGAGGGGCACAGCGAGCAGGGGCUUGUCCAUGCUGGAGAAUCACUUGAAUAAGGGAUGCCAGGAAAUGCACCAAGCAUCAGCUGUGCAGCUGUAGAGAGCCAGACCUUUCCUCCAUUUGCAACCCAUAGGCACUACUCUGUCAGAUAAAAAUACAUCCUGUCUGAUGUAUUUUUCACCUGUUCACUAGUGAAAAGGAAGAGUAUUUACAGACAGCUUCUCCAGGUGUUGCCCCAGAAGGCCACAGGCCAAGACUUCCCUAAAGGAAGGCUGUGACUUUACCUAAAGGGUGGGAGGGCAAGCUGUGAACGUUUGCAAACGUGUACCUCCCUUGUUAUCCUACAGGCAAGCUGGCAGAGUCUAUUUAGUAUCAUUUGAAAGUUCACUGAGAUGAAAAUAAUGACAAAAAAUACUGUGACAAGAUAAAGUACAGUGCUAUAAAAAUUCUCUACAGUGCUAUAAAAAUUAGAUUCUUAGCAGAAAAGAGAAUGAAGAGGUAAUUUAGUAAAAGUGAUGGAUGAACCUCUGAAGGUUUGGAAUUUCAGUUCAGUGCAGUCGCUUCUUCAGAUCUGAAGAGUCUGGGAAAUUCAGGAGCGUGGUCGCCAGCCACGAUAACCAGUCUCCCCUGGCUUUGACCUGCCUGAAAGCCAGUAACAAAAAGACGACAAGACUGGACUCUCCAGCUAGUCUGCCCAGUGGUAAUUAAAUUAACCUUUAUUCAACCUAAGCUAGUUCUCACAUUCCCUGUGGGGUAAGGACAUAUAUUUCCAUCAGGAAAAAAGGAGAAACUUGCUGCAGCAUCUGGUAGAGUUAGGGAGGAAUCACCUUUUGAAGGUAUCUCACACUGCGCAAGUAGCUUAUAUGGUCAAAACCCACCCUUUUGGCUGGAGAGUGGGCUACUAGUAAAAAAAAGAGUGAAUACUUUGAUAGUGGUAUGAUUGCCUGGCACUGACCAAUUUAGUGUUCCUGAUAAGUAGUAGCAGCUGCUUGUAUUUCGUAAGAGUUGUUGAUCCUCAGAUGUACAAGUACUGUACAAAAAAAAAACUGUAUUACUGUGUUUAUGACUGGAGAAGAGUGAGUCCUAGGGAAAUGGAUGAACCCUGGUCACCAUAGGACUGGAUGUUGCAAACAGAAAUAAAAUUCAACUCUACCAAAUUUUCCUAAGAGAG
rnacentral:lncRNA from 1 species